GAAGGAGAAUCAGAAGUUCAGAGGAGGUUCUAAGAGGGUGAGGUCAGGUUCUUGAAGAAACUUGAUCGGUAUGAGGCUAGUCGAGUUCUAGGGUCUAGAACUCUUGAAGUAAGGUGAAGAGGAGCGCUGUCUUUGAUUCAAUUUCUGUGUCGAUCACCAUUGAAGGGUGGGCACUUGGUCACCUUGUAAAAAUUGAGAUUAGCACUACAAGUAUUCUUCUUAUCCUAAUUUAUAUUU
rnacentral:lncRNA from 1 species